UACGGGGGGAGCAAGCGUUGUUCGGAUUUACUGGGCGUAAAGGCGCGUAGGCGGCCACCGCAAGUCGGUUGUGAAAUCUCUGGGCUUAACCCAGAAAGGUCAACCGAUACUGCGGGGCUAGAGUGCAGAAGGGGCAACUGGAAUUCUCGGUGUAGCGGUGAAAUGCGUAGAUAUCGAGAGGAACACCUGCGGCGAAGGCGGGUUGCUGGGCUGACACUGACGCUGAGGUGCGAAAGCGUGGGGAGCAAACAGG
rnacentral:rRNA from 1 species